rnacentral:rRNA from 1 species
CGGGGUGCACCAGGCGCGAAAACUUUACAAUGCUGGAAACAGCGAUAAGGGGACCUCGAGUGCCAGGUUACAAAUCUGGCUGUCGUGAUGCCUAAAAAGCAUUGCAUAGCAAGGGCCGGGCAAGACCGGUGCCAGCCGCCGCGGUAACACCGGCGGCUCGAGUGGUAACCGUUAUUAUUGGGUCUAAAGGGUCUGUAGCCGGCCGGACAAGUCUCUUGGGAAAUCUGGCAGCUUAACUGUCAGGCUUUCAGGAGAUACUGUCUGGCUCGAGGCCGGGAGAGGUGAGAGGUACUUCAGGGGUAGGGGUGAAAUCUUGUAAUCCUUGAAGGACCACCAGUGGCGAAGGCGUCUCACCAGAACGGACCUGACGGCAAGGGACGAAAGCUAGGGGCACGAACCGGAUUAGAUACCCGGGUAGUCCUAGCCGUAAACGAUACUCGCUAGGUGUCGGCCACGGUGCGACCGUUGUCGGUGCCGUAGGGAAGCCGUGAAGCGAGCCACCUGGGAAGUACGGCCGCAAGGCUGAAACUUAAAGGAAUUGGCGGGGGAGCACAAGGGCGAAUCGCGG